GUAAAGCCGAAGAUGUAACGUCUUACUAUCAGCGUCUUGUGGCUGCCUUUCAGAUUCACAGCGGCCUCGAGGAGCCCACAGACAUAACCAACAUGACUGUGUGGGAAACUCAUCUCCAGAACGCCUUCAUGAACGGGCUUCUGCCAGACGUCAAAACUGCCACUGAACGCUCUGUCGUGGGUCUGGAAGAUGCAAGGCUCACAGAAGUGAAGGAGGACGAGACCCCCACCCAUCCAGAAAAUCUUAUGGGAGGGACCAACAGAGAGGACGAGCGUAUGGAAUAAAUCAUGGGAGAAGAGGGCGUUUUCAAGGAGGGGCCCCACGAGAAGUGCAACCCGAUGAAUGCUUCCUCUGUGGCAAAACAGGACAUUGGUACAAAGACUGCCCCUACCGUUCAAACCAGGUACGUCAGCCACGUGGACGACAGAGGGGG
ensembl:lncRNA